rnacentral:rRNA from 1 species
CCUACGGGUGGCAGCAGUGAUGAAUAUUGGUCAAUGGGCGAGAGCCUGAACCAGCCAAGUCGCGUGAGGGAAGACGGUCCUAUGGAUUGUACACCUCUUUUGUCGGGGAGCAAAACGGCCUCGUGAGGCCACCCGUGAUAGUACCCGCAGAAAAAGCCUCGGCUAACUCCGUGCCAGCAGCCGCGGUCAUACUGAGGAUGCGCGCGUUAUCCGGAUUUAUUGGGUUUAAAGGGUGCGUAGGCGGACUGGAAAGUCAGCGGUAAAAUCGAGAGGCUCAACCUCUUUACGCCGUUGAACCUGUCGGUCUGGAGUGGGCGAGAAGUAGGCGGAAUGCGUGGUGUAGCGGUGAAAGGCAGAGAUAUCACGCAGAACUCCGAUUGCGAAGGAAGCAUACCGGCGCCCGACUGACGCUGAGGCACGAAAGCGUGGGUAUCGAACAGGAUUAGAUACCCCAGUAGUC